rnacentral:rRNA from 1 species
AGUCGACGGCAGCCGGGAGCUUGCUCCUGGUGGCGAGUGGCGAACGGGUGAGUAAUAUAUCGGAACGUGCCCUAGAGUGGGGGAUAACUAGUCGAAAGAUUAGCUAAUACCGCAUACGAUCUAAGGAUGAAAGUGGGGGAUCGCAAGACCUCAUGCUCGUGGAGCGGCCGAUAUCUGAUUAGCUAGUUGGUGAGGUAAAGGCUCACCAAGGCGACGAUCAGUAGCUGGUCUGAGAGGACGACCAGCCACACUGGAACUGAGACACGGUCCAGACUCCUACGGGAGGCAGCAGUGGGGAAUUUUGGACAAUGGGCGAAAGCCUGAUCCAGCAAUGCCGCGUGAGUGAAGAAGGCCUUCGGGUUGUAAAGCUCUUUUGUCAGGGAAGAAACGGUAGAGGCUAAUAUCCUUUACUAAUGACGGUACCUGAAGAAUAAGCACCGGCUAACUACGUGCCAGCAGCCGCGGUAAUACGUAGGGUGCAAGCGUUAAUCGGAAUUACUGGGCGUAAAGCGUGCGCAGGCGGUUGUGCAAGACAGAUGUGAAAUCCCCGGGCUCAACCUGGGAAUUGCAUUUGUGACUGCACAGCUAGAGUGUGUCAGAGGGGGGUAGAAUUCCACGUGUAGCAGUGAAAUGCGUAGAUAUGUGGAGGAAUACCGAUGGCGAAGGCAGCCCCCUGGGAUAACACUGACGCUCAUGCACGAAAGCGUGGGGAGCAAACAGGAUUAGAUACCCUGGUAGUCCACGCCCUAAACGAUGUCUACUAGUUGUCGGGUCUUAAUUGACUUGGUAACGCAGCUAACGCGUGAAGUAGACCGCCUGGGGAGUACGGUCGCAAGAUUAAAACUCAAAGGAAUUGACGGGGACCCGCACAAGCGGUGGAUGAUGUGGAUUAAUUCGAUGCAACGCGAAAAACCUUACCUACCCUUGACAUGGUCGGAAUCCUGAAGAGAUUUAGGAGUGCUCGAAAGAGAACCGACACACAGGUGCUGCAUGGCUGUCGUCAGCUCGUGUCGUGAGAUGUUGGGUUAAGUCCCGCAACGAGCGCAACCCUUGUCAUUAGUUGCUACGAAAGGGCACUCUAAUGAGACUGCCGGUGACAAACCGGAGGAAGGUGGGGAUGACGUCAAGUCCUCAUGGCCCUUAUGGGUAGGGCUUCACACGUCAUACAAUGGUACAUACAGAGGGCCGCCAACCCGCGAGGGGGAGCUAAUCCCAGAAAGUGUAUCGUAGUCCGGAUUGUAGUCUGCAACUCGACUACAUGAAGUUGGAAUCGCUAGUAAUCGCGGAUCAUGCAUGUCGCGGUGAAUACGUUCCCGGGUCUUGUACACACCGCCCGUCACACCAUGGGAGCGGGUUCUGCCAGAAGUA